AGAGGGCAGGGACUCAAUCCCAGGAGGUGGCCGCUGUGCCUUUAUAGAGAGGAGGAGAUGCAAAUUAGACUCCUCCAGUCCUAAUUAAAACCUGCAAGGUCCCUGUCCCUGUAGCUCUGGGAAAGGAACCCCAGAUCCUCUCUCUCUGCUGCUCCCUUCCUGCCCCCAGAACUGUCCUCAUAGCCCUCACCAUGCAGUUUGCCUUCAGUCUGCUUUCUAUCCUGGCCCUGCUCCAAGGUGUGCAGGGUGAUGUCCAGCUGGUGGAGUCUGGGGGAGACUUGAGACAGCCUGGCGGGUCUCUGAGCCUCUCCUGUAAAGCCUCUGGAUUGACUAACAGCUACUACUACAUGCACUGGGUCCGCCAGGCUCCAGGGAAGGGGCUCGAGUGGGUCGCUCAAGUUCAUAAGGAUGGUGGUAGCACCAAAUAUGCAGACUCUGUGAAAGGCCGAUUCACCAUCUCCUGGGAUAAGUCCAGCAGCCUCCUGAGUUUGCAGAUGAACAGCCUGAAAACCGAGGACACGGCCCUGUAUUACUGUGCUGCAGACAUAAUGAGAGAAAUUACAUUCUCUGCCUGUCAGAAACCCUGGGAGGAUUUCUGGGCUGCAGCUGGCUGGGGGAACAGAGCAGUAGAGACCACAGACAAUAGCCCUGGCUCCUAAGACUAAUCAUUAAUUCUAUUAUUAAUGCUGUUCACAAUUCCAAAACAAGCCCUAGCCCAAAAUCCCACUGGUAUGUAAAAUUAAAUGGGAACCAGAGCCCGAUUUUUUCUA